UACGUAGGGGGCAAGCGUUGUCCAGAAUUACUGGGCGUAAAGCGCACGCAGGCUGAAUUAUAAGUCGGUAGUAAAAGGCGGGGGCUCAACUUCCGUAUAUCUAUCGAUACUGUAAAUCUAGAGUAUGUGAGAGGGAAGCGGAAUUCCCGGUGUAGCGGUGAAAUUCGUAGAUAUCGGGAGGAACACCAGUGGCGAAGGCGGCUUCCUGGCACAAUACUGACGCUCAUGUGCGAAAGCUAGGGCAGCGAACGGGAUUAGAUACCCCGGUAGUCCUAGCCGUAAACGAUGGAUACUAGGUGUGGGUGUCGCAGGGCAUCCGUGCCGCAGUUAACGCGUUAAGUAUCCCGCCUGGGGACUACGGUCGCAAGACUGAA
rnacentral:rRNA from 1 species